rnacentral:lncRNA from 1 species
GAGUUGAUGAGCGGUAGAGGGUAGGUGCAGCACUAGGGUUAGGUGCAAUAGAAGCUAGGGUUUUCUGAAAAUGUUUUAGUUUUGGGCUUGUUGGGCCUUUAGUUUUUUUUUCUUUUUGGGCUGUAAUUUUAUUGUUUUGGGUUAGGUCUGUUUUAGGGUAUUGGGUUUGGUUUAAGGUUUGGGUAAUUGGGUUUUUGGGCCCUGUUUUUAUUUGGUGCGGGCCUGGGCAAAUUGGGUUGUACAGUUGCCCCUCUUUGCUCGUUGUCGUGUAACGAUAACAGAGCAAAGACUAAGAAAGACCAAUUUUGCCCGGUCUCGCCGAGUCUUUUCUUAUUUGAUACUUUUCUUUUCAACUAGUCUCAUUCCAAUCCACUGUGUCUUGUCGCUUCAAU